GAACUGCUCCAAUAUUCAUCGGUUGGUGGAUCAUAUGGCACCUUAAGGUUUAGGUGAACAUUUGGAGCGUUUGGGAACAUUUGUGGUAAUUGUCAUAUUUGAUUCCUUCAUGAUCAUGCAUUUUCCUUCUCUAUAUCAUGGUUUUAAUGGAUGCUUUCCUUU